rnacentral:misc_RNA from 1 species
GUUUAACUUAUUCAUGGUCAAGCGACAUUCAUUACCAAUUCGCGUCAAAAAGACAAUGCACAAGUGUUUGAAAUGGGACAGAGGCCGGUCGGAACCGGAGAUCCUCUAUAUCACUAAUGAUCCUUCCGCAGGUUCACCUACGGAAA